UACAGAGGGUGCAAGCGUUGUCCGGAAUUACUGGGCGUAAAGGGCGCGUAGGCGGUUCGAUAAGUAGGGGGUGAAAUCUCACGGCUCAACCGGGAGGCUGCCUUCUAGACUGUCGGACUUGAGCACGGUAGAGGCAGAUGGAAUUCCCGGUGUAGCGGUGGAAUGCGUAGAGAUCGGGAAGAACACCAGUGGCGAAGGCGAUCUGCUGGGCCGUUGCUGACGCUGAGGCGCGAUAGCGUGGGGAGCAAACAGG
rnacentral:rRNA from 1 species